GAGUUUGAUCCUGGCUCAGAACGAACGCUGGCGGCAGGCCUAACACAUGCAAGUCGAACGAAGUCUUCGGACUUAGUGGCAGACGGGUGAGUAACGCGCGGGAACCUACCUGGAGGUUCGGAAUAACUCGGGGAAACUCGGGCUAAUACCGGAUACGCCCUUACGGGGAAAGAUUUAUCGCCUUUAGAUGGGCCCGCGUUGGAUUAGCUUGUUGGUGAGGUAAAAGCUCACCAAGGCGACGAUCCAUAGCUGGUCUGAGAGGAUGAUCAGCCACACUGGGACUGAGACACGGCCCAGACUCCUACGGGAGGCAGCAGUGAGGAAUAUUCGGCAAAUGGGCGCAAGCCUGACCGAGCCAUGCCGCGUGAGUGAAGAAGGCCCUAGGGUUGUAAAAGCUCUUUCACCGAUGAAGAUAUGACGGUAGUCGGAGAAGAAGGCCCCGGUUAAAUUACGUGCCAGAGCCGGGUAAUACGAAGGGGCUAAGGGUUGGUCCGGAAUUACUUGGGCGUAAAGGGAACAGUAGGCGGGAAUUGGUAAGCCAAGGGGGUGAAAAUCCCGGGGUUCAAACCCCGGAAAUUGGCCUUUGAUACUUGGGCAAAUCUCUCGAGUUUCAAAAACACGGU
rnacentral:rRNA from 1 species